ACCACAGAGCCACUUAGAAGGAAACACAGUAGCACAAGCCUGAGCAAGGUCCUGAGUUGAGGCUGCUGGAUGAUGUGGCCCAGCUCAGCCAGGAUCUUGG